rnacentral:tRNA from 1 species
GGUGACUCAGUGGUAAGAGUGCUUGCCUCACAUGCAUGAGGUCCUGGGUUCAAUUCCUCAGCACCA